UUCCGAUACCGGGAGUCGAACCCGGGUCCUAGCGGAACUCUCAGAGAUGAAAGCGCUAUAUGAUAACCGUUACACUAUAUCGGA